UACGAAGGGGGCUAGCGUUGUUCGGAAUUACUGGGCGUAAAGCGUGCGCAGGCGGCCAUCCAAGUCAGUGGUGAAAGCCCGGAGCUCAACUCCGGAAUUGCCAUUGAAACUGUUUGGCUCGAGUACGAGAGAGGUGAGUGGAAUUCCCAGUGUAGAGGUGAAAUUCGUAGAUAUUGGGAAGAACACCAGUGGCGAAGGCGGCUCACUGGACUGGUAUUGACGCUGAGGUGCGAAAGCGUGGGGAGCAAACAGG
rnacentral:rRNA from 1 species